rnacentral:rRNA from 1 species
AACGAACGCUGGCGGCGUGCCUAACACAUGCAAGUCGUGCGAGAAAGUUCCUUCGGGAGCGAGUAAAGCGGCGCACGGGUGAGUAACACGUAGGUAACCUGCCCCCCAGUCUGGAACAACUAGAGGAAACUCUAGCUAAUGCCGGAUGAGACCACGAUCCCUUCGGGGGGUUGCGGCCAAAGAUGGCCUCUACUUGUAAGCUAUCGCUGAGGGAUGGGCCUGCGGGCCAUUAGCUUGUUGGUGAGGUAACGGCUCACCAAGGCUGUGAUGGCUAGCUGGUCUGAGAGGAUGACCAGCCACACUGGGACUGAGACACGGCCCAGACUCCUACGGGAGGCAGCAGUGGGGAAUAUUGGACAAUGGGGGAAACCCUGAUCCAGCCAUGCCGCGUGAGUGAUGAAGGCCCUAGGGUUGUAAAGCUCUUUUGUGCGGGAAGAUAAUGACGGUACCGCAAGAAUAAGCCCCGGCUAACUUCGUGCCAGCAGCCGCGGUAA